rnacentral:rRNA from 1 species
UACGGAGGGGGCCAGCGUUGUUCGGAAUUAUUGGGCGUAAAGGGCGCGUAGGCGGUCGAGUAAGUCUGACGUGAAAUCCCUUGGCUCAACCAAGGAACUGCGUCUUAAACUGCUCGGCUUGAGUCCGGGAGAGGGUAGUGGAAUUCCCAGUGUAGCGGUGAAAUGCGUAGAUAUUGGGAGGAACACCGGUGGCGAAGGCGGCUCACUGGACCGGUACUGACGCUGAGGCGCGAAAGCGUGGGUAGCAAACAGG